GGUGACUUGGCCGAGUGGUUAAGGCGGCAGUCUUAAGAUCUGCUUGCAUUUGCAAUCGUGGGUUCGAACCCCACAGUCACCA